UACGAAGGAUGCAAGCGUUAUCCGGAUUCAUUGGGUUUAAAGGGUGCGUAGGCGGCCUAAUAAGUCAGUGGUGAAAUCUCCUCGCUUAACGAGGAAACUGCCAUUGAUACUGUUAGGCUUGAGUACAGUUGCUGUGGGCGGAAUAUGACAUGUAGUGGUGAAAUACAUAGAGAUGUCAUAGAACACCGAUUGCGAAGGCAGCUCACAAAACUGUAACUGACGCUGAGGCACGAAAGUGCGGGGAUCAAACAGG
rnacentral:rRNA from 1 species